AUGCUGCAGCACCAGCUGCGGGGCACGGUGCGCCUCGACCCCUCCGGCGCCUGCGCGCUCCAGCUCACGCGCUUCGACCUCCUCGCCGCCUCCCCGUCCGCGCGCUUCUGGGCCGCCGACGGCCCUUCCCUCGACGACCUCGCCAAAGGCCGCCCCUUUUCGCCGCUCCCGCUCAACGCCACCUUCCGCAACGAGACGCUCCGCCUCCCCUUCUCCGCCCCGCUGCCGCCGCUCCUCGCCAUCUUCGACCCCGACACCUCCUCCGACCUCGGCCACGUCUUCCUCUCCGCCGCCUCCAACUCCUCCAACGCCACCGCCGCUCUCGCCUCCCGGAUCGCCACGCCCACCAUGUUCGACAACUGCGUCCAGCUCUCUGAGGGCUACCGCCUUCGCUGGACGCUCAACGCAUCCGCCGGCGAGGUCGACAUCGGCCUCGAGGCCGCGGUCGGCUCCGAGUACUACAUGGCCUUCGGGUGGGCUGACCCCAAGGCCAACUCCCCCGCCAUGGUCCGCUCCGACGUCGUCGUCGCUGGCUUCACCGAGGAAGGUAUGCCGUUCGCUGAGGACUACUACAUUACCGACUACAGUGAGUGCACCAUGGGGAAGGAUGACCUGCCUGUGUCCGGAGUGUGCCCGGACAGUGCUUACGAUGACGGGAGGAACGAUUCCAGGCUGGUUUAUGGGCACCGGCGGGAUGGUGUGUCUUUCGUCAGGUACAAGAGGAAACUCGACAGUGAGGAUGACAAAUAUGAUGUGCUUGUUGGUGCCACGGAGGAGAUGGCUGUGGUCUGGGCCAUCGGAAAGCUGCGUCCGCCGGACACUUUGCGGCCGCACUACCUUCCGCAGAAUCAUGGGGGUCCGAGGGAUGAAACCUUUGGGUUGAUGAGGCUCAAUUUGUCCGAGGCAGUGGACAGUUGCCUUGGACCGUUGGAUGCCGACAAUAAGCAAGACCAGGACAGGAUCAUUGCCGACGGGAAGACGCCACUGGUUGUGACAUCCGCUCCAGCAGUGCGCUACCCAAACCCACCAAACCCUGACAAGGUGAUUUACAUCAACAAGAAGGAGGCGCCACUGCUGAAGGUCGAGAGGGGUGUGCCGGUGAAGUUCUCAGUGCAGGCUGGGCAUGAUGUGGCACUGUAUGUCACUUCAGACCCCAUCGGUGGAAAUGCCACUUUGAGGAAUAAGACUGAGGUCAUAUAUGCCGGUGGCCCUGAUGUUCAUGGUGUGCCAGCAACCCCCACAGAACUGGUUUGGCUGCCUGAUAGGAAUACACCUGAUCUUGUCUACUACCAGUCGGUGUAUGAAGCAAAGAUGGGGUGGAAGGUUCAAGUGGUUGAUGGAGGCCUCAGUGACAUGUACAAUAACAGUGUCCUGUUGGAUGAUCAGCAGGUUACUCUGUUUUGGACUCUGUCCACUGACUCUAUAUCUAUAGCAGCUCGAGGUGAGAAGAAAAGCGGGUGUAAAUCAGAAGAUGGCGUUAUUACAUUUGAGUUUACACGUCCUCUUAAGCCUUCCUGUACUGGAAAGGUGGAGUGCAAGAAUAUUAUUGAUCCAACCACACCUCUUAAGGUUGUUUGGGCCAUGGGUGCAAGCUGGUCAGGAGAUGACCUGACGGACAGUAAUAUGCAUUCGGUCACAAGCAGUCGCCCCAUACGUGUUCUUUUGUUGAGAGGUUCAGCUGAGGCAGAACAGGACUUGCGGCCCGUUCUGGCUGUGCAUGGAUUUAUGAUGUUUGUGGCCUGGGGCAUCUUGCUUCCUGGUGGAAUAUUGGCUGCUCGGUAUUUGAAAAGCUUGAAGGGAGACGGGUGGUACCAAAUACAUGUCUAUCUGCAGUAUUCUGGGAUCUCUAUAAUGUUCCUUGGCGUCCUUUUUGCUGCAGCCGAGCUCCGAGGUUUCUAUGUUGAUUCAGUGCACGUCAAGUUUGGUUUAUCAGCCUUACUGUUGGCAGCUUUUCAGCCGCUCAAUGCCUAUUUCCGGCCCAAGAGGCCCGCUAAUGGGGAGGUUCCACCCCGGAACCGUGUCCUCUGGGAGUACCUACAUGUCAUCACAGGGAGGUCAGCAAUUGUCGUCGGAGUCGUGGCACUUUUCACCGGAAUGAAGCAUUUAGGCCAGAGGUAUGACAGUGAAAAUGUAGAGGAGCUCACCUGGGCCUUGAUGCUGUGGGUGCUUUCUGCCAUAGUUAUAGCUCUGUCCCUAGAAUAUAAAGAGGUCAAACGAAGGGGCGGCGACCGAAGCUUCAGAGGGCACUGGGUUCUAGGUAACACCGAGGAAGAUGACUCGGUUGAUCUCUUGCAUCCUGACAGCUCUGCCAGGAGUUCAGAAUCUAGGCCUUCUGGUGUAAUGGAGGUGCAGCUUGAGCCUCUCACCAGAUGA
rnacentral:rRNA from 1 species